rnacentral:rRNA from 1 species
ACUCAAAGGAAUAGACGGGGGCCCGCACAAGCGGUGGAGCAUGUGGUUUAAUUCGAUGCAACGCGAAGAACCUUACCUGCCCUUGACAUCCACGGGAGCCUGCAGAGAUGCGGGCGUGCCGAGAGGAACCGUGAGACAGGUGCUGCAUGGCUGUCGUCAGCUCGUGUUGUGAGAUGUUGGGUUAAGUCCCGUAACGAGCGCAACCCCUGCCCCCAGUUGCCAGCGCGUAAAGGCGGGGACUCUGGGGGGACUGCCGGUGAUGAACCGGAGGAAGGCGGGGACGACGUCAAGUCAUCAUGGCCUUUAUGGGCAGGGCUACACACGUGCUACAAUGGGGCGUACAGAGGGCAGCGAACCCGCGAGGGGGAGCCAAUCCCGGAAAGCGCCUCUCAGUCCGGACUGGAGUCUGCAACCCGACUCCACGAAGACGGAAUCGCUAGUAAUCGCGGAUCAGAACGCCGCGGUGAAUACGUUCCCGGGCCUUGUACACACCGCCCGU